CGUAACACGUAUGUAACCUACCUUAAUCAGGGGGAUAGCCUCUCGAAAGAGAGAUUAAGACCGCAUAACAUCAUGGAGUAGCAUUACUUUAUGAUCAAAUAUUUAUAGGAUUAAGAUGGGCAUGCGGAACAUUAGCUAGUUGGUAAGGUAACGGCUUACCAAGGCUACGAUGUUUAGGGGAUCUGAGAGGAUGACCCCCCACACUGGUACUGAGACACGGACCAG
rnacentral:rRNA from 1 species